AUUGAACGCUGGCGGCAAGCCUAACACAUGCAAGUCGAACGAGUGGCGGACGGGAGAGUAAUGUCUGGGAAACUGCCUGAUGGAGGGGGAUGACGGAGGUAAACUGUAGCUAAUACCGCAUACCGCCGGAUGUGCCCAGAUGGGAUUAGAUAGUAGGUGGGGUAAAGGCUCACCUAGGCGUAUCUCCCUAGCUGGUCUGAGAGGACGACCAGCAACACUGGAAAUGAGACACGGUCCCGACUCCUACGGGAGGCAGCAGUGGGGAAUAUUGGACAAUGGGCGCAAGCCUGAUGCAGCAAUGCCGCGUGUAUGAAGAAGGCUUUCGUGUUGUAAAGUACUUUCAGCGGGGAGGCGUUACCCACAGAGGAAGCAACGGCUAACUCCGUGCCAGCAGCCGCGGUAAUAC
rnacentral:rRNA from 1 species